UACGGAGGGGGCUAGCGUUGUCCGGAAUUACUGGGCGUAAAGCGCGCGUAGGCGGUCCACCAAGUCGGGGGUGAAAGCCCGGGGCUCAACCCCGGAAUGUCCUCCGAGACUGAUGGACUGGAGUUCGGGAGAGGAGGGCGGAAUUCCCAGUGUAGAGGUGAAAUUCGUAGAUAUUCGGAAGAACACCAGUGGCGAAGGCGGCUCACUGGCCCGUUACCGACGCUCAGGCGCGACAGCGUGGGGAGGCAAACAGG
rnacentral:rRNA from 1 species